AGUCCGUGGUGUGGACACAAUUGUAACAACUCUUUGAAUCAAGCGUAGGCAUCAUAUAAAUAUUCUCCUUUUUUUUAGCAAAGCUUGUAAUUUGGUUUCUGAGUUG